UCUCUCUCUCUCGAAUGGAAUUUAAGCUCAAAUGACUGUCUCAGCCAUGCCAAGUCAGUGGCUCUCAUCCCGGCGAGGAGAGAGACAGAGACAGCUUCUCUGAAGAGCUAUUGCAAAAUGCUUCAGCCCAGCCAGUCCCUUCAGCCCCACAUUCUGGCACACCUGUGCUGGGUGCACACCCCUGUGGGAGCCCACACCUGCUGUGGGCUGGGAAGAAUCAGGAAGAGACAAAGACAUUACCUGGCUUCAAUCAAGGCAUUUCCUACAGCACCCAGCCAACAGCAGGAAAUGUUCUCGCUCGGGUUAUAUCUAGUUUUUCUCUGCAACAGGGACCCAAGACCAAAACAUUUUAACAUGAAUACGCAUUGGAACUGAAAUUCUUGGGUCUUGCAAGAAGAAGUCUUUGUCCCACAACCUACCCCAUGCUGGACUUGAACCUGUGCACUGCCACAUACUGUUCAUUCAGUGCCGAAGAUCAAAGCCGGAGUUCUAUGCUCUCUAGCUAAACACUCUACCAUUUAUCAUGUCAUGUGUGUUAGGUAGGAGAAAACCUUUUCCCUUCUCAGCUUCAGGGAUUAGCAUUUACACAUUAAAUGGUUGGAAGACA
rnacentral:sRNA from 1 species